rnacentral:rRNA from 1 species
AUGCCUUCCCUCAAGGCCCCGGAUCGUGUCUCGCCCGAGCGCUUCUCCUUGCAACACCAAGAUUUGGUCGACCGCUUCUUCUCCCUUGGAUGCCGCCAUGGCCUGGCGCUCAUCUACCUUCGCAAGCGUCUCCAGCUCCUUGUGUGGGACCCCGUCACCGGCGACCAGCACCACAUUGCCGCCCCCCCGGGGUUCGACACGGAGACAUCCCCAAUCAGCGGCGCGGUGUUUCGCUCUGCCGGAGACGUACAGCACUUCCAUCUGGCUUUGGUAGGGAGCAGUGAGAGACAAAUUACGCAAGCAGUCGCCCGUGUUUACUCGUCGGAAACCAGUGUAUGGGGCGACCUUAUCACAACACCGCUUCAAUCCGAGGAUGCUGCCCAUUUUCGCAUUGCGGUUUCUACGAUCAAGCCUGCUGUGCUGGUUGGGGGUUGUCUUUACUGGUUGCUUGAUGGGAGCUUGGGUGGGAUCCUUGAAUUUGAUAUGGAUCGGCAAAGACUAGCUGUGAUACCUAUGCCAGUAAAUGACCUAAGGUUUUUCCACUUCUCGAUGAUACGGGCAGAUGGUGGUGGAUUUGGUCUCCUCGUUUUAUCAGGCUUCAGUGCCCAAUUCUGGAAGAGAAGGAUCAAUUGCGAUGGUGUUGCUUCAUGGGUGUUGGGAAGAACCAUUGAAAUUGACAAGCUACUUCACUGUGAACCAGAGUCGAAUGGGAGCCAAUUAAUACUAGGUUUUGCUGAGGACAAUAACGUGGUUCUUUUUUGGACGGACGAGGAUCCCCUGCCGUGGCCAAGCCUACCUUUGAGUCACUGA